AUGUACUAUGAUUCUUUAGACGUUACAAAGAGUUUGUUUUACGUGUGGUGAGAAAGAAUGAUAAAAGUAAUAUCGCGUUCCGCAUAUCGUAAUGAGUCGAUAUAUUUUUUACGGUCUCAUAAAAAAACACCGAAAUCUUCCUCAUCUAUUAGUAUUGGAUGUGCCUCAGUACCAAACUAAGCUCUAUGACGAUUCGACAUACUCGGAUUAGAUAAAGAAUGUGAAAUAACCGUUUCAAUGUUUAUAUAUUCAACAUUUUAGCUU
rnacentral:lncRNA from 1 species